GGAAAGGUGGCCGAGCGGUUUAAGGCAGCGCUCUUGAAAAGCGCCGAGGGGCGACUCUCCGUGGGUUCGAAUCCCACCCUUUCCGCCA
rnacentral:tRNA from 1 species